ACAUCCACAUCUAUUUUUUUUCCCAUAUUCGCUUCAUCUAUUUGUGCAGAGUAUUUUCGAGUAACUGAAAGACAUUUUGACAGCUCACCCCUAAAUAGCUCAGUAUGCCUCUCUCAGCUGUGUCCAGUCUACUAAUAAGCCCAUUAAAGGCAUUCUUCAUUUGUCACAGUGUUUUUGAGUUGUAGCAUUUCUUUUUGGUUCUUAGGAUUUCCAUCUCUCUGCUUACAUUGCCCAUCUUUUCGUGCAUGAUGUCUGUCCAUUAGAGCCCUUAGCAUAUUAAUCAUCGUUGUUUUGAAUUCCCGGUCUGAUAACUCCAACAUCCCUGCCAUGUCUUUUUCUGUUGCUUGCUCUGUCUCUUCAGACUGUUUUUUUUUUUUUUUUUUUUGGUCUUUUAGUAUGCGUUCUUAGGUUUUCUCGAUAGCCAGAUGUGAUGUACCGGGUAAAAGAAACUGAUAGAAACAAGCCUUUAGUAAUUUGGUGAUACAGUGUCGGGGUGGGGAAGUGUCUUAUAGUCCUAGGAUUAGGUCUUAAUCUCUAGGGAGCCUGUGUCUCUGGACUGUGAAUUUCACAAGUCUUUCUCAGUUUCCCCUUCGUCCCCUGGGGGAACAGGAUGGCUAGAGUCGGCUGGAUGGAGUCGGGUAUUUCCCUUCUCCCAGGUCUUUUGGGCUCCUGUUAAAUGACUUCUCCGGAGGGUGGACUUUUGUUAAGAAAAACAGAGCACUCUUGUGUAUUUCAAAAUGGAUCCCUUCCCCCUCUCCCUGUUGGAAGCCCGAGGGGAUUUUUCUCCGAAAUUUACUGUGGGAUCCUGGUCCAGCUCCUGGAGUUAAAACUCACAGAAGUGUGAGGGCCCUUCGAUGAGUGGGUCCCCCUGGGGUUUGUAACUCUCGGAUUCGGGCGCCGGAAGCCUCUGGCUGCUGGUCUGUUACACUUCCGCUUUCCCUGCUCUGACACGGGCUCCUGUGCAGGCUGCAGAUCCUGCUUCUGCUCCGAGAGAGAGAGAGCACACAAGCAGAGGGAGAAACAGGCAGAGGGAGAAGCAGGCUGCUGAGCAGGGAGCCCGACGUGGGGCUCGAUCCCAGGACCCCAGGACCACGACCUGAGACGAAGGCAGACGCUUAACGACUGAGCCACCCAGGCGUCCCUAGGACAACAAGCAUAACAGCUUCUUCAAGGUAUAGAACAACCGGAUCAUCUGAUUUUCAGCCUUCCUCAGUUCUCCAGAGCUCCUAACCAUAAACGUUGAGAGAGUUCCUGUUGCUCCACAUCCUUGCCAGCAUCUGGUGUUGUCAGUGCUCCAGAUUUUGGGCAUUCUAAUAGGCUGUGUGCUGUGCAGAUGUCCCUCCAUACUCAGCAAACAGAAAUACCUCCCAGUGCUUUUCCAUCUGUGCUACUCUGGAUACGUUGCCGUCUUUGCCUUUGCCAAUGUGAGCCAUGCAACCAUGCUGAAGAACAUCUUUACCUCUCUCCUGUGUUGGAUCUCCUGGGUCCUGUAUUCAGGGAUUUCUUCAUUGGUAAAGCACACCCUGCAGUGGUGCCCUAAUAGAGUACGCAAUGUCAGCUGCUGUUUUGCUUAUGAAACCAGAGGUUCCUGUCACACAAGUCACAUCAUGGGCCUCCAGAGUCAACAUCUUCCAUGUGACUCCAAAUCCCGCGCUAACUUCACCUACUAGGGAUCUGAAUAUCUACAAAGAAAGAGAUUGCUGCCAGGAGCUGUGGUUCCUCUCAGAGGCUCAUUUUGAAACUGAAAGUGCCCUCGGAAAGGGUGGAGAGGAGAUUUUAACUUGGGAAAAUGUCUUCCACUGCUGUGGGGUCUGGAAAUGAUCGCAAGCAGAUACCUUCAAAACAAGGCUGCAUAGUUAAGCACAUCUGAGGAAAAUGGCAGCCCGCAGGGGGCGCGCGGCUUUGGAGGUGGGAUCGCAAACAUCAACCCCCUCAGGACUUCAGGUAGAGGCGGUUAGUACUUAAAUUAGUUUCUCUUUAAUUUGCAGUUGGUGAUGGUGUAAAGUUUGCCCACUAGGAGGGAGAGAGUUGAUGAGCUGCGAGUCCCUGUUUUGCAUAAGAGCUACCUUCCAUGGUGCACAUCUGUAGAGCUGGCAUGGCCCGGAAUUCUGGAUCGUUCUCACAGGAGACGGUGGUCCUCCAUAGGGGCCUGUGCCGUGAGAGGGGGCCAUCCGAGUGUGGGAGACUGCUUUCCCAGUACCGACUCACCUACAGACAUUCUCCACGGCGCUUGGAGACACGUCACCGUGUGGUGGGAGUCCUUAGCCUGACCGUGAGACACGUUUUGCACGACUGCUUCCCUUGUGGCAAUUCCAAAAGAUAGGUGUACCCAAAGUCAGUUUCCCAUCACUAAGUAAAAUACCACUGGAGCCAGUGGUUUUCAAAUUUAGCUGAACAUCCGAAUCAACGAGGACUCUUAAAAAUCGCAGUGCCCGGUUUGCGCCCCAGACCCAUCACAUCGGACUGUUUGGGGGAAGGGGCCCAGGCCUUGGUAUUUUUUUUUUUUUUUUAAGUCUCCAAGAGAUUCUAAUAUGCAACAGAUUUCGAGAACCACUGACGUAGGCAAUUUACAUGGCAAUUGGAUGGGGGGUUAGGAGAGGUCUUGUGGGCUCAGAAUAGACAAAUGCAUUUUGUAAGUGAAAGGGGCUAUUGUGCUGUUACCCUGGUAAUGGUACUGAGUGGAAAAGUUUCCAAGCGCUAAAAGCAUAUGAAGUCAUCAGCAAUUUGGGAGAAACUAGAUGGGACUCUCCCUGCUCUCCUACCUGUGAAGUUUUCUCCUAUGAAAUCAUUCAGUCUUGAAUCCUAAAGAUCUGUGUGGCAAAACAUUGCUGAUAUCUCUGUUAAAGACAAGGGACGAUGAAUGCCUAAACUAGUAGUUUCCAGCCUUGACUACAUGUUAGAAGUACUUGGAAAGCUUUGGGGCGCCUGGGUGGCUCAGUUGGUUAAGCCACUGCCUUCGGCUCAGGUCAUGAUCCCGGAGUCCCCAUUGGGACUCCCUGCUCAGCGGGGGGUCUGCUUCUCCCUCUGACCCUCCCCCCUCUCAUGUGCUUUCUCUCAUUCUUUCUCAAAUAAAUAAAUAAAAUCUUUAAAAAAAAAAAAAAGAAGUACUUGGAAAGCUUUAAA